GCAGCCGCCGCGGGAAUACAGAGGGUGCGAGCGUUAAUCGGAUUUACUGGGCGUAAAGCGUGCGUAGGCGGCUUUUUAAGUCGGAUGUGAAAUCCCUGAGCUUAACUUAGGAAUUGCAUUCGAUACUGGGAAGCUAGAGUAUGGGAGAGGAUGGUAGAAUUCCAGGUGUAGCGGUGAAAUGCGUAGAGAUCUGGAGGAAUACCGAUGGCGAAGGCAGCCAUCUGGCCUAAUACUGACGCUGAGGUACGAAAGCAUGGGGAGCAAACAGGAUUAGAUACCCGCGUAGUCCCUGUCUCUUAUAC
rnacentral:rRNA from 1 species